rnacentral:misc_RNA from 1 species
UGAUUUUAUUUUUUAUGUUUUUAGAUGUUCAUGUUUUUGAAUGUUUUAUUCGAAUAAUAUAAAAAAUAAAAUAUAUAUUGACAUGGAUUAAACAAAGAUAUAUAUUAUUCUAUGUUGUAUAAACAAAUUGGCAAAAUAGAGAUGGAAGAUAAAAAUAUGGUCAAAGUAAUAAGAGUCUAUGGUGAAUGCCUAGGAGCUUUAAGGCGAAGAAGGUCGUGGUAAGCUGCGAAAAGCUUGGGGGAGAAGCAAACAUUUAUUGAUCCCAAGAUUACCGAAUGGAGUAAUCCAGCUAGCAAGAUGCUAGCUAUCUAUUAUUAAAUARWARARGCGAUACCAGG